UUUGUAAAGUGUCGGCAAGAAGAUAAGGUGGAAUAAUUUGAGUGGAUGAUGGGGCCCAAUGAGCACCCACACUCCAAUUAUAACCCCAAAUCUUUGCCUAUAAAUAAGGCCUUGUACUUUCUAAAAACAUAAGCAAUUUUCCAAUCUUGUAUAAGAAAAACUUUCUUUCAAAAAACUCUCUCCCAUAUAUUCUCUCAUAUAUUCUCUCUCAAUUUACAUACUUAAAUAUCUAGCAUCAACUAAGAAAAUAAUGGAGCAAAAUAAGGUACGUAAAUUUAUGGCAAGCUAAAUUUUCUGUGGCAAGAUUUUAGGAAAGUAUUCUAGCAUCAACUAAGGAAUUAAUGGAGCAAAAUAAGGUACGUAAAUUUAUGGAAAGCUAAAUUUUCUAUGGCAAGAUUUUAGGAAAGUAGUAAUAAUGCUAAAAUGAUAAUGAUCCUGUGAACACCGGGAGUUCAGUGUAACAUUAGUUUAAAGGUUUAUAACAGCCGGUAAUGCUAGCUAAAGUGGAUCUAGCCGUG
rnacentral:lncRNA from 1 species